AGAGUUUGAUCCUGGCUCAGGACGAACGCUGGCGGCGUGCUUAACACAUGCAAGUGGUGCGACGAACCAGGGCUUGCCCUGGGGCUAAGCCGCGAACGGGUGAGUAACACGUGAGUAAUCUGCCCCGAUGACCGGGACAACCCGAGGAAACUCGGGCUAAUACCGGAUGUGGUGCACGGGUAUAAGCCUGUGUACUAAAGGAAGCUUCGGCCUCCGCAUUGGGAGGAGCUCGCGGCCCAUUAGCUUGUUGGUGGGGUAACGGCCUACCAAGGCAACGAUGGGUAGCUGGUCUGAGAGGACGAUCAGCCACACUGGGACUGAGACACGGCCCAGACUCCUACGGGAGGCAGCAGUGGGGAAUCUUGCGCAAUGCGCGAAAGCGUGACGCAGCAACGCCGCGUGGGGGAAGACGGCCUUCGGGUUGUAAACCCCUUUCAGGAGGGACGAAGGUUCACCGGUUAAUAGCCGUGUGGAUUGACGGUACCUCCACAAGAAGCUCCGGCUAACUACGUGCCAGCAGCCGCGGUAAUACGUAGGGAGCAAGCGUUGUCCGGAAUCAUUGGGCGUAAAGCGCGCGUAG
rnacentral:rRNA from 1 species